CCUACGGGCGGCAGCAGUGAGGAAUAUUGGUCAAUGGGCUUACGCCUGAACCAGCCAAGUCGCGUGAGGGAAGACUGCCCUAUGGGUUGUAAACCUCUUUUGUCAGGGAGCAAUUGGCGCUACGUGUAGCGUUAUCGAGAGUACCUGAAGAAAAAGCAUCGGCUAACUCCGUGCCAGCAGCCGCGGUAAUAUGGAGGAUGCGAGCGUUAUCCGGAUUUAUUGGGUUUAAAGGGUGCGUAGGCGGAAUGCCAAGUCAGCGGUAAAAUCGCGGGGCUCAACCUCGCUCCGCCGUUGAAACUGGUUUUCUUGAGUGAGUGAGAAGUAUGCGGAAUGCGUGGUGUAGCGGUGAAAUGCAUAGAUAUCACGCAGAACUCCGAUUGCGAAGGCAGCAUACCGGCGCUCAACUGACGCUCAUGCACGAAAGUGUGGGUAUCGAACAGGAUUAGAUACCCGGGUAGUC
rnacentral:rRNA from 1 species